AUGGCCGAAAGGCUGAACCAGUAACUUGGAAGAAUGUAAGUGUAUUUGUAUAAAUACAAUAGCGAUUAAUUCGCAUAAAAUUCUAAAUAGGUUGUAUAUAAUGACAUAAUCUAUUUAUAAGUCUUGACCAAACUACGUGCCAGCAGUCGCGGUAAUACGUAGAAGGCUAGUGUUAGUUAUCUUUAUUGGGUUUAAAGGGUAUGUAGACGGUAAAUUAAACUCUAAAAGAGUACUUUUUUACUAGAGUUAUAUAUGAGAAGGAAGAAUUUCUGGAGUAGAGAUAAAAUUUUUUGAUACCAGGAGGACUGUCAACGGCGAAGGCGUCCUUCUAUGUAAUAACUGACGUUGAGAGACGAAGGCUUGGGUAGCAAACAGGAUUAGAUACCCUAAUAGUCCAAGCAGACAAUGAUGAAUGUCAUACAUUAGAGAAGAUUUAAUGUAUAAACGAAAGUGUAAGCAUUCCACCUCAAGAGUACUAUGGCAACAUAUAAACUGAAAUCAUUAGACCGUUUCUGAAACCAGUAGUGAAGUAUGUUAUUUAAUUCGAUGAUCCGCGAAAAACCUUACCACAGCUUGUAUAACAGUUAUGAAAAAUUGUUACAAGCGCUGCAUGGCUGUCUUUAGUUAAUGUCGUGAGAUUUGGUUAACUCCUUUAAUUAACGAAAACCCUCACUUUAUUUAUUUAUAUAGAGUGGUUCACUACUACAUUGGACUAGAUAAUAGGGAUUAAGACAAGUCAUUAUGGCCUAAUGCU
rnacentral:rRNA from 1 species